rnacentral:rRNA from 1 species
CCUACGGGUGGCAGCAGUGAGGAAUAUUGGUCAAUGGACGAGAGUCUGAACCAGCCAAGUAGCGUGAAGGAUGACUGCCCUAUGGGUUGUAAACUUCUUUUAUAUGGGAAUAAAAUGUUCCACGUGUGGGAUUUUGUAUGUACCAUAUGAAUAAGGAUCGGCUAACUCCGUGCCAGCAGCCGCGGUAUUACGGAGGAUCCGAGCGUUAUCCGGAUUUAUUGGGUUUAAAGGGAGCGUAGGUGGAUUGUUAAGUCAGUUGUGAAAGUUUGCGGCUCAACCGUAAAAUUGCAGUUGAAACUGGCAGUCUUGAGUACAGUAGAGGUGGGUGGAAUUCGUGGUGUAGCGGUGAAAUGCUUAGAUAUCACGAAGAACUCCGAUUGCGAAGGCAGUUCACUGGACUGCAACGGACACUGAGGCUCGAAAGUGUGGGUAUCAAACAGGAUUAGAUACCCCGGUAGUC